CUUUUCCUCUGCCACUUUACAGGGUUCCUGAAAGGGUAGAAGAAAAUACAGUAGGGCAGGGCUCAAGACCUUACAGUGGAAGAGUUAUGCUCUCCAUAAACAAUAUGACCUUCCAGGAGAGAAGAAAGAAUAGCGGAAGCCAUGUACUUGCUUGAGAAUAUAACAAAGAGACAUACUGGUUUGCAGGAAUUUUGAGUCAAAGAGUAAG